AUUAAUAAUUAAUAUAUUUAAUAACAAUAAUUUUAAUUUAAUAAAUAUUUUAAUGGGGGUUAAAGUAUUUUUUAAAGAAAAAAUUUUUAAAUUUAUAGUUAAUUAGUAUUGUGAAAGAAUUUUGAAAUAUUAUGAAAAAUAAAAUUUUUAUAAAGUAAUUUUUAUUUAUUGUAUCUUGUGUAUCAGAGUUUAUUAAAAAUUUUUAAUUUAUAAAUUAAUUUCUCGAAUUUAAAAGAGUUAAAUAAUUAUUAAAGUUAUUGUAGCAAAAUUAUUUUAAAUAAUUAUUUAGAAAUGAAAUGUUAAUCGUUUUUAAAUAUAUCUAGUUUUUAUAGAAAAAAAUUUAAUUUUAAAUUUAAAAAUUAUUUAAUUAAUUUAUUAAUUAAAUAAUUAUUUAAAUUUUAUAAUUUAAGGGAUAAGCUUUAAAUUAAAUUUUUAUAAUAUUAAAUUUUUAUUUUGAAAAUUUUAUAAUUUAUAUUGUUAAUAAAUUUUAUUUUGUUAUAAAUAAUUUCAUUUUUUUUAAAAUUUAAAUUUUAUUUAAUUUUUUAUAUAAAAUUUAUUUAUAAUUAUAUAAAGUUAAUUAUAAUGAUAAAAUUAGUAUAUUAUUUAAUAUUAAAUUAAAAUUAAUUUUUGAUUAAUAAUUAAAUUAAUUAAAAGGAAUUCGGCAAAUAUUUAUUUUCACUUGUUUAUCAAAAACAUGUCUUUUUGUUAUUUAAUUUAAAGUCUAAUCUGCCCACUGAUUUAUAAAAAUUGAAGGGCUGCAGUAUAUUGACUGUACAAAGGUAGCAUAAUCAUUAGUCUCUUAAUUGGUGACUUGUAUGAAAGAUUGGAUGAAAAAUAUACUGUCUCUUAAUUAAUAUAUAGAAUUUAAUUUUUUAUUUAAAAAGUUAAAAUAAUUUAAAAAGACGAGAAGACCCUAUAGAGUUUAAUAAAUUAUUUUAUGGAAGUUUUAUUUAUAUUUACUAAUAAUUUUAUAAAUUUAUUUAUUUUGUUGGGGUGAUAAAAAAAUAAAUUUAACUUUUUUUAAGUAAUUUACAUGAAUAAGUGAUUAAU
rnacentral:rRNA from 1 species